UACGUAGGAGGCGAGCGUUGUCCGGAGUUACUGGGCGUAAAGGGUGCGCAGGCGGCGUCACGCGUGGCUAGAUGAAAUCUCCUGGCUUACCUGGGAGGGUGGUAGCCAGACGGUGGCGCUUGAGGGUCGGAGAGGGGCGUGGAAUUCCUGGUGUAGCGGUGAAAUGCGCAGAUAUCAGGAGGAACACCGGUGGCGAAGGCGGGUCUCUGGGCCGCAUACUGACGCUGAGGAGCGAAAGCGUGGGGAGCGAACAGG
rnacentral:rRNA from 1 species